rnacentral:rRNA from 1 species
AGAGGGUGCGAGCGUUGUCCGGAAUCACUGGGCGUAAAGGGCGCGUAGGCGGCUCGGUAAGCGUGCGGUGAAAGCCCGGGGCUCAACCCCGGGUCGGCCGUGCGAACUGCGGAGCUGGAGCACUGUAGAGGCAGGUGGAAUUCCGGGUGUAGCGGUGGAAUGCGUAGAGAUCCGGAAGAACACCGGUGGCGAAGGCGGCCUGCUGGGCAGUUGCUGACGCUGAGGCGCGACAGCGUGGGGAGCAAACAGGAUUAGAUACCCUGGUAGUCCACGCCGUAAACGAUGGGCACUAGAUGCUUGGGGGAGCGACCCUCCGAGUGUCGGCGCUAACGCAUUAAGUGCCCCGCCUGGGGAGUACGGCCGCAAGGCUG